rnacentral:rRNA from 1 species
CCUGGCGGCAAUAGCGAGUGGGAACCACCCGAUCCCAUUUCAAACUCGGAAGUGAAAACGCUUAGCGCCGAUGGUAGUGUGCUGUCUCCCAAUGUGAGAGGCUGCUCUCG